CGCCUCUUGACCAAAUAUAAGAGGUAUAGCCUGCCCAGUGACUCUGUUCAACGGCCGCGGUAUCCUAACCGUGCGAAGGUAGCGUAAUCACUUGUUCUUUAAAUGAGGACUAGUAUGAAUGGCACCACGAGGGUUAUACUGUCUCCUUUUUCUAAUCAGUUAAACUAAUCUCCCCGUGAAGAAGCGGGAAUGAAAUUAUAAGACGAGAAGACCCUAUGGAGCUUUAAACUAAAUUACACCUGCUUAUAAACACUUAUCUUUCAGAACACUAAUAUUUAUACUAGCAUCAUGAUUUUUAGUUUUAGGUUGGGGUGACCGCGGAGCAAAAUAAAACCUCCAUAUUGAACGGGAUAAUUUUCCUGAGCCCUGAGCCACAACUCUACGCACCAAUAAAUUGACAUUAAUUGACCCAAUAUUUUGAUCAACGAACCAAGUUACCCUAGGGAUAACAGCGCAAUCCACUUUAAGAGCCCCUAUCGACAAGUGGGUUUACGACCUCGAUGUUGGAUCAGGGUAUCCCAGUGGUGCAGCCGCUACUAAAGGUUCGUUUGUUCAACGAUUAAAACCCU
rnacentral:rRNA from 1 species